rnacentral:misc_RNA from 1 species
GUAUUUGAGUUUAUUAUCACAACAUUCUAUAACUUUAUGACAAUAGGGUAUAUGUCAAAAAAACAUAGACACGGCCCUUUCAGAAACCAAAGGCAGCUGAACGAAGCCAGCACAGACCUUCUAAAAUCUGAAUCCAUGCGGACUCAACAAAAAUGUUUCUUUUUCAAACGGACCGAGCCUACAAAAGGUGCACAGGUGGUUGAUGAAAAAAGAGUGAAAAGAGGGGCGUGCACAUGCUUGACGCCAGCAACAACCCCUUCCUUCCAACUUUUUUUUUAUUCAAUAAUGAUCCUUCCGCAGGUUCACCUACGGAAA